GUCAACUCGCAAAAGAUGUCAAAUUCCUGCGCACAAUGCCUAACAGUGGGCGGGCCCCACAAAGAGUAAACCUGUUGAGGGUGGGGCUAGUAUCCAGGAAGCUCAGAGGUCACAAAGGGCGGGGCCCGUCCUGGCGAACAUAUCCAGGUGUCUGCGGGUUAAACUCCCUCGUGAUCCUUGCUGGGCUUGAGUCUAGAUGUGACUGCCAGGCCAGAACGUCUUGCCAAGGAGAUCCAGCAGCUGAGCACGUGCGGCUCUGGGUAGACGGUACUGUCCUGCAGGUCUUGAGGUCUUCAGGCCUCUGACGCUGCUGGCAGCGUCACUGUGCUGGGGCGGCGCCAGGUUUGCUCUGCGUGGUACACACUGGCAGGAACCUCCAUUUCAUGCCAUGGUGCUUCGAGGACCGUACCAGCCUUGCAGUACCACAACAUGGACUGAGCUGGAGGCAUCUAAAGGCAUCAACACAGAGCACUAACAAGAACGAUGUAACAGCUCAGCUGUUCCAUCUUAACCGCCUCCUAACAAGCAGAUCCUGGGUGCCUCUGACCAGUGACAAAAUGCCCUGCCAACCUCUACUGGAAAGACUGCUGCUGCUCUUAAAAGAGGUGGGAUGCAGAGAAAAGACACUCCGGAGUCCAUGACUUGGGAACACAAAGGCUCUUGCUAUGCUUCUUGCCUAGCAGCACUCCUCUUGUGGUGGUGGAGAUCGGGGUAAGGCCUGAUCAGAGCCAAACCAGUUCAGGGUUCUCUAGGUCACAGGGUACAAGCUACAUAGCCUGGAUUUGCCAAAAACCUCUGGCAAGGGGAGAAUGCGGAUGAGACUCUUACUGGCAGUAAUCUUCUUCCCUUCCUAUCCAGAAGACCCUCUGCUGGAAUAAACUAGCUUCUGAACUA